AAUAAAGAUAAAGAUAAAUUUUUGAGCAGUUAUCCAAGCCCAAAUAAAACAUGAAUAUUAGGGUUUCCUUUUUCUUCUAUAAAUUAGUGCUUGUUUCUAAGGUUUAUAUCUCUUCUUGUGGCUGGCUCGGUGGCUAGAACAAGUUACUCCUUUUUCUUUUUCUUUUUUUGAUAAUUUUUUUAUUUAAACUCAAUUAAAGAAAAGAAAAACAAAUUUCUGGAGAUUGAUCGCAGCUUUCCUCUUAGGGUUUAUCGGUGACAAGGAUUUGGCUUCGCCUGGCUAGAAUAGAAGAUCCAUUGAGUUACGUAGAAGGAAUCUAUGUUAUGAAGUGCAUCAGUUUUCAAUGACGAGAGUUUUGGCGGUGCCUUUAAACUGGAGUCAAAACGUUGCCGUUUCUUCUGUGAAAGAUCAUUCAUUAAGCUUUCGUUCAGUGGUUUUUUAUUUCGUAUGUUAAUUUACCAAUUUCCUUUUUUCUUUUUUGAUAUAAAGAUCUGAUUAUUUUGCUGGUGGGUUUUUGAAUUGCUGAUAGUAAGUUUUAAUUUUUAACACAAAAUUAUCAGUUUUUAACAUUGAAUUAUUGCGAAUUUAAUAAUUUAGAUUAAAUCGGUAACACCACUUGUAUUCUUUAAUACAAUAUUUCGUAUUGGAUCUAGCUUUUAAAAUUUUAUACACUAAUGUAAAUUCAUUAAUUUACAUUUAGCAUUCCACGUAUGAAGCUAGUAAUGUAUUAUUGAAAAUUACGUCAAAAAAAAAUACUAUGUGAAAAGCUAGUUACGUAGAAAGAAGAUCGGUAUUUGUAGCAAGUCUGUAAUCCAAAUUUUUUUAUUUUUCUUUUUUGAGAAAUCAACAUGCAUAUAAUAAUAAUAAUAAUAAAGAAACCACCACUUGAAAUAAAUAAAUAAAAAACCUAAAACCCAUCCUCCCUGAGAAGAAAAACGGUAAAAAGAAAAACAUAGACAUCAUAAAAUGACUUACGAAUUCUUAGAAAACCCUACACCGCUUGCCUGCAACCCACCCCCCCAACCCAACCCCGCCUUGGAUUAUUCAUUUAUAUCCCCUUGAAGAUGGUCCCAUGGUACUGUAAAAUCUAUAAUAAAAUUCUAAAGCCAGUAAAAAACCACCAAGCAUUCAUUAUAUUUUACAAGACCACAAACACAUCCCCAAGGGGAUUCAUAGAAAAUGUUAGCAACCGUUUGAUAAAAAGUUCUUCACUGUUUCGGGUAUCCUGAACCAUCUUCUGAAAGAAGGCCGUUCGAGUGAGGAAUUGGAUUGGCUUCUUUGAUCAAAUCACCAUUUGUUGUUGCUAUAUCUUUCUUUUCAU